AACGAACGCUGGCGGCAGGCUUAACACAUGCAAGUCGAGCGCCCCGCAAGGGGAGCGGCAGACGGGUGAGUAACACGUGGGAACGUACCCUUCAGUACGGAACAACCAAGGGAAACUUUGGCUAAUACCGUAUACGUCCGUAAGGAGAAAGAUUUAUCGCUGAAGGAUCGGCCCGCGUCUGAUUAGCUAGUUGGUGAGGUAACGGCUCACCAAGGCCACGAUCAGUAGCUGGUCUGAGAGGAUGAUCAGCCUCACUGGGACUGAGACACGGCCCAGACUCCUACGGGAGGCAGCAGUGGGGAAUAUUGGAAAAUGGGCGCAAGCCUGAUCCAGCCAUGCCGCGUGGGUGAUGAAGGCCCUAGGGUUGUAAAGCCCUUUCGGCGGGGAAGAUAAUGACGGUACCCGCAGAAGAAGCCCCGGCUAACUUCGUGCCAGCAGCCGCCGUAAUAC
rnacentral:rRNA from 1 species